UUGGUCAUUUAGAGGAAGUAAAAGUCGUAACAAGGUUUCCGUAGUGAACCUGCGGAAGGAUCAUUACAGAGUUCAUGCCCUUCGGGGUAGACCCCCACCCUUGAAUAUAUACCCUUGUUGCUUUGGCGGGCCGCUUCGGCUAUGGCUUCGGCUGGUGAGUACCCGCCAGAGGACCCAAAAUUCUGAAUUAUGUGUCGUCUGAGUACUAUAUAAUAGUUAAAACUUUCAACAACGGAUCUCUGGUUCUGGCAUCGAUGAAGAACGCAGCGAAAUGCGAUAAGUAAUGUGAUUGCAGAAUUCAGUGAAUCAUCGAAUCUUUGAACGCACAUUGCGCCCCUGGUAUUCCGGGGGGCAUGCCUGUUCGAGCGUCAUUAUAACCCCUCAAGCCAGCUUGGUGUUGGGGCCUGCCGUCUGGCAGCCCUUAAAAUCAGUGGCGUGCCAUCUGGCUCUAAGCGUAGUAAUUUUUCUCGCUACAGAGUUCUGGUGAUGCUUGCCAUCAACCCCCAAUUUUCUAUGGUUGACCUCGGAUCAGGUGGGAUACCCGCUGAACUUAAGCAUAUCAAUAAGCGGAGGAAAGGGGCCU
rnacentral:rRNA from 1 species